GUGGGGAAUUUUGGACAAUGGGCGCAAGCCUGAUCCAGCAAUGCCGCGUGUGUGAAGAAGGCCUUCGGGUUGUAAAGCACUUUUGUCCGGAAAGAAAUCCGUCUGGCUAAUACCCGGACGGGAUGACGGUACCGGAAGAAUAAGCACCGGCUAACUACGUGCCAGCAGCCGCGGUAAUACGUAGGGUGCGAGCGUUAAUCGGAAUUACUGGGCGUAAAGCGUGCGCAGGCGGCUUUGUAAGACAGAUGUGAAAUCCCCGGGCUCAACCUGGGAACUGCAUUUGUGACUGCAAGGCUAGAGUGCGUCAGAGGGAGGUGGAAUUCCGCGUGUAGCAGUGAAAUGCGUAGAGAUGCGGAGGAACACCGAUGGCGAAGGCAGCCUCCUGGGAUGACACUGACGCUCAUGCACGAAAGCGUGGGGAGCAAACAGGAUUAGAUACCCUAGUAGUCC
rnacentral:rRNA from 1 species